rnacentral:rRNA from 1 species
GAAGCAUGUGAGCCAUGUGCCAAGAAAAGCCGCUAUUGUGAUACACAUACCCGUACCGUAAACCGACACAGGUGGAUGAGGAGAGAAUCCUAAGGCCGACGGAAGAAGCAUUGUUAAGGAACUCGGCAAAAUGACCCCGUAACUUCGGGAGAAGGGGUGCCCUGUGAAAGCAGGGCCGCAGAGAAUAGGCUCAAGCAACUGUUUAGCAAAAACACAGGUCUAUGCGAAACCGAAAGGUGAGGUAUAUGGGCUGACGCCUGCCCGGUGCUGGAAGGUUAAGAGGAGAAGUCAGGCAACGAAGCUUCGAAUUUAAGCCCCAGUAAACGGCGGCCGUAACAAUAACGGUCCUAAGGUGGCGAAAUUCCUUGUCGGGUAAGUUCCGACCCGCACGAAAGGCGUAAUGAUUUGAGCACUGUCUCGACAAUGCAUCCGGUGAAAUUGAAGUACCAGUGAAGAUGCUGGUUACCUGCGCCAGGACGGAAAGACCCCAUGGAGCUUUACUCCAGCUUGAUACUGGGAUUCGAUACUGUAUGUACAGGAUAGGUGGGAGACGUUGAACAUAGAACGCCAGUUUUAUGUGAGUCGCUGUUGGGAUACCACCCUUGCAGUAUUGGAUUUCUAACCUGCACCCAUGACCUGGGUGGGGGACAAUGUCUGGCGGGGAGUUUGACUGGGGCGGUCGCCUCCGAAAGGGUAUCGGAGGCGCUCAAAGGUUCCCUCAGAAUGGUUGGAAACCAUUCGAAGAGUGCAAAGGCAGAAGGGAGCUUGACUGUGACACCGACGGGUGGAACAGGUACGAAAGUAGGACUUAGUGAUCCGGUGGUAUAAAGUGGGAUUGCCAUCGCUCAACGGAUAAAAGCUACCCUGGGAUAACAGGCUUAUCACUCCCAAGAGUUCACAUCGACGGAGUGGUUUGGCACCUCGAUGUCGGCUCAUCGCAUCCUGGGGCUGUAGCAGGUCCCAAGGGUUGGGCUGUUCGCCCAUUAAAGCGGUACGCGAGCUGGGUUCAGAACGUCGUGAGACAGUUCGGUCCCUAUCCGGCGCAGGCGGAGGAUAUUUGAGAGGAGCUGUCCUUAGUACGAGAGGACCGGGAUGGACGGACCACUGGUGUAUCUGUUGGCUAUCGGAGCCAUGGCAGAGUAGCCAAGUCCGGCAGGGAUAAACGCUGAAGGCAUCUAAGCGUGAAGCCCCCCUCAAGAUGAGAUAUCCCUCAGAAAUGAGUAAGACCCCUUGAAGACUACGAGGUAGAUAGGAAUGAGGUGUAAGCACAGCAAUGUGUUCAGCUGACAUUUACUAAUCGGUCGAGGGCUUGACCG